GAGUUUGAUCGUGGCUCAGAGUGAACGCUGGCGGCAGGCCUAACACAUGCAAGUCGAACGGCAGCGCAGCAGUAGCAAUACUGUGGGCGGCGAGUGGCGGACGGGUGAGGAAUACAUCGGAAUCUACCUUGUCGUGGGGGAUAACGUAGGGAAACUUACGCUAAUACCGCAUACGAACUACGGUUGAAAGCGGCGGACCGCAAGGCGUCGCGCGAUUGGAUGAGCCGAUGUCCGAUUAGCUAGUUGGCGGGGUAAAGGCCCACCAAGGCGACGAUCGGUAGCUGGUCUGAGAGGAUGAUCAGCCACACUGGAACUGAGACACGGUCCAGACUCCUACGGGAGGCAGCAGUGGGGAAUAUUGGACAAUGGGCGCAAGCCUGAUCCAGCCAUGCCGCGUGUGUGAAGAAGGCCUU
rnacentral:rRNA from 1 species